AGUGAACGCUGGCGGCGUGCCUAAUACAUGCAAGUCGAACGAAGUGGCGCACGGGUGAGUAAUAUAUAGUUAAUCUGCCCUACACAGAGGGACAACAGUUGGAAACGACUGCUAAUACCUCAUAGUGUAGGAUGAGACUAUAUCGUAUCAGCUAGUUGGUAAGGUAAUGGCUUACCAAGGCUAUGACGCGUAACUGGUCUGCGACGGUGAUCAGGCACAGUGGAACUGAGAUACCGGCCAAAGGGCUACGGGAGGCAGCGGUGGAGAAUAGUGCACAAUGGGGGAAGCGAGGAUGGAGGAACGCCGCGUGCGGGAUGUCUGUUAUCCGGGUGUAAACGGCUUUCAGCGAUGACGCGGUAGCGGCAGAAGAAGCACCGGCUAACUACGUGCCAGCAGCCGCGGUAAUUC
rnacentral:rRNA from 1 species